UACAGAGGUCUCAAGCGUUGUUCGGAUUCAUUGGGCGUAAAGGGUGCGUAGGUGGCGCCGUAAGUCAGGUGUGAAAUCUCGGGGCUCAACCCCGAAACUGCACUUGAUACUGCGGUGCUCGAGUACUGGAGAGGAGAUUGGAAUUUACGGUGUAGCAGUGAAAUGCGUAGAUAUCGUAAGGAAGACCAGUGGCGAAGGCGAAUCUCUGGACAGUUACUGACGCUGAGGCACGAAGGCCAGGGGAGCAAACGGG
rnacentral:rRNA from 1 species